GCCGGAGUGGCGGAAUUGGCUUACGCGCGCGACUCAAAAUCGUGUGAGGCAACCCCUCGUGUGGGUUCGAGUCCCACCUCCGGCACCA
rnacentral:tRNA from 1 species